GGGGGCGUAGUCUAGCUUGGACUAGGAUGCCAGGCUUGGGCCCUGGUGGUCGCGGGUUCAAAUCCCGCCGCCCCCA
rnacentral:tRNA from 3 species